rnacentral:rRNA from 1 species
UCUGUGACUCCUACGGGGAGGCAGCAGUGGGGAAUAUUGCACAAUGGGGGAAACCCUGAUGCAGCCAUGCCGCGUGUGUGAAGAAGGCCUUACGGGGUUGUAAAGCACGUUUCAGUAGGGAGGAAGGUAGUGUAGUUAACACCUGCACUAUUUGACGUUACCUACAGAAGAAGCACCGGCUAACUCCGUGCCAGCAGCCGCGGUAAUACGGAGGGUGCGAGCGUUAAUCGGAAUUACUGGGCGUAAAGCGCAUGCAGGCGGCCUGUUAAGUCAGAUGUGAAAGCCCGGGGCUUAACCUCGGAAUUGCAUUUGAAACUGGCAGGCUAGAGUCUUGUAGAGGGGGGUAGGAAUUUCAGGUGUAGCGGUGAAAUGCGUAGAGAUCUGAAGGAAUACCAGUGGCGAAGGCGGCCCCCUGGACAAAGACUGACGCUCAGAUGCGAAAGCGUGGGGAGCAAACAGGAUUAGAUACCCUGGGAG